CCAGUUUCUAACCGUUUUCAAUGAUCAAUCAUUGGAGAAAAACAGCCUUUAUGAAUUAAAUACCUUUAUGGAAGUCUUGUACUAUGUUGGUGUAAAAAAUAAUGAGAAUAAAGUUUUUGGAAUCUUUUUGAUUUUUUUCAAGAAAUAAGGUAAAAAAAUGCUAAAAUAGGGAAAAUUGAGAAAAUUUGAGAAAAGCCGUUUUCUGACCGUUUUCAAUUAUCCAUCACCAGAGGAAAACAACACUUAUGAAUAAACUACCUAUAUGCAAGUCUAGUACUAUUUUGGUGUGAAAAAUGAUGAAAAUAAAAUUUUUGGUAUCUUUUUGAUUUAAAAAAAAAAGGUAAAAAAAUGCUAAAAUAAUAAAUUGAGAAAAUUUAAGAAAAGCCAGUUUCUAAACUGUUUUCAAUUAUCCAUCACCAGAGGAAAACAACAUUUAUGACUUACUACUGAUAUGGAAGUCUAGUACUAUGUUGGUUUAAAACAAGAAUGUGUCCACAGUACACGGAUGCCCC
rnacentral:lncRNA from 1 species